AUGCAAGUGGCUGAGAGGCACACUUACUGCCCCUUCAUGAUUCACCUCUGCACUCAUGUCAUGGGCACGCUCUUAAGAGCUGCUGGCGCCCCACAACUGACCAGGGUGGUGUACUGGAGCCAGGCCCUUUCUGCCUAAGCAGGACACUCAAAGAGGCAGUCUUUGCCCUGCAGCCCUCCACUGGCCCAGCCAACACUCUCUCAGAGCUUAGACAUCUGCUUCUCAGAGCACCCAAACUGACAGGGUGUAUCCAGUAUAUUUGAUUCUGAAGCUAGAGAGACCCAGCUGGCCAUACACAUUGGGGAAUCAUUGACAGAUGGCAGCUGAGAUCUGAGAGCGGUUGACCUCACUUCACAAGGUUGAGUGGAAUUAGGAGGGACAAACUUCUGUGACAGGAGCCUGAGGAGCACCAAACAAUUUGACAUCUUACAUCUGCAGUGCUUCUCUGGAGUGAGUUACUUCUAUGAUCCAGUUAGGACCUACGUAAAACAGAUACUGUUUCUUUACAAAAUGAUAGAAUGAGAAGAGGAGAAUGAGAUAUCAUCGGUCCUGAGGAAAUGAGACUCAAGUUUUCCGAGAAGAGGAUCCCAGGAAAUUAAACUCAACUCAAAAUAAGUUUAUCUGCUGUUCACAGUCACAAGUUUUGUUGGCAGUUCUUAACUCUUGGCACCAUUCAAAGUUUUGUCAAUCGUGAGACAACUCAUUGUUAACCUCUCAGCGCCUUCUACAAGUGUAAUGUAUGGUACUGUCCUGCUGCCUUCUAGCAGCUGCUGCCAUGCUCCCAGGAAGUCUUCCAAGUUCCUCAGAGUUACACUAGGGAAAUAAACCUAGGAUUAGAAAAACACUGUGACCCUCCAGAAGCCUGUGAGCUCUUUAAUGCCAGAGGCCUGAUAUUUAAUCCAAUAGUAUUCUGAAAUAUUCUAAGGAUAUAGGGAGUGAGAAUGGGGAGUAAGAGGUGGUUGGACUGAAAUCCAGUAUGAAUCAUAUAAGAGAGAUUUAGAAGCACGUGAAGAUAAAUGUUUCCCAUGUGACACAGAGCAGCACAUCUGGAAGGAUGAAAUUUAAUGAUUUCCAAAGCACAAUUUUCCCAGUCUGGCAAAGAAUUUUUGAAGCACAUAGCACCUUCAGAAUGUAUGCAAACAAGGAACUGACAUUGAAGAAACUGGACAGUAGCCUUCUUUCCCUGGAACAAAAUGAUAUUGGAUACAUUUGCUAUAUUGCCAGCUCUUACUCAUUGUGCUGGGAAUUGCUUUCAAGUCCUGUGACUCCAGGGAGAACCCAGCCCAUUUCACAGGAUGUUUAAUGUGUGCUCACAAAUAGAUUCCAUCAGCUCUCCUACGGCACCCAGGAGGUCAGCUGCCCCAUGGAGGAAGCAAGAUUUGUGUGCAUUAGAAAUAAAUGAACUGUUGGAGAUAGGAUCUUCUUUGUUGACAAAACAAGUCUUGAAGAUAAGAGAUCAAGGCUUCUAGUUAAAUGGAGCAGUGACCUUAUCAGAAAUCUCAAAGCAGAAAAGUCUGUCAGAAAAACAGCAUCAGAUCAAGGAAACCAAGUACAUGGAGCUAAUUUUUGACUCUAAAGAAAGGCAAGAUUAUUUAAUAAUAAUGAUAAUGGCACAGUUUGUUAACUAUGUGAAGAAAAUCAAAUAUAGCUUUAUCUCCAUUAUACAACCAAAUAUAUUCUACAUGGAUUAAAAUAUUAAAUGUAAAAGUUAAUCAAACCAAUAAGUCAAAAAAGAAAAAAAUAGAAAAAAUAUCCAUAAAAAUUUAUUGAAUUACAAAAUGGUCAUAAAAUAUAUUAGUUCAAAACAAUGGAAUAAUUCAUAAAGGAUGACUAUUAUAGAGAUUUUCCCGUAGAGAGUUCUAAAAUUUAUGUGACUCAAAAAAUGCCUUAUAUAAAACUAAUAUCAAAUAAAAAUUUUCAGAAAAUAUUUGCUUGCAUAAGGCAAAAGAGCUAAUAACCUUAAUGUAUAAAAGUUCCUUCAAACUAAGUACCAUCUCAGAAGAAAAAAAAUCUCAAAGUGGUAAUCAAAUAAUAAAAAUUGUAAUACCAGGUCUCGAUGACUUAGCUAGGUGUGGUGGUGCACACGCCUGUCGUCCCAGCUACUCGGGAGACUGAGGCAGAAGAAUCACUUGAACCCAGGAGGUGGAGUUUGCAGUGAGCCAAGAUCACGCCACUGCACUCCAGCCUGGGGACAGAGCGAGACUCUGUCAAAAAACAAAACAAAACAAAAUAAAACUUCCCUUAAUUCUGCAACAUUUCUGAUUAGACCAAGUAGCAUCAGGAAAGAUACAGAAGAACUUUCCCUCCUCCAACAGCUAAGUUCAACUAAAUUUCUGGACACUGUAUAUAUUUUAACCUCCCCCACCUAAAAUAAAAGAAAAAAAAGAGAAGACUUUGCAGUAUGGAGAAAAGGUAGACAAGCCAGGGACCUUGGUCUCAAAGAACAACAUGGUGGUGGGUUUCCUGGGUUUUCUUUUCCAUCAUAUAUCUCAGACUUGGAGAUGAAAAAUCAGCAAUCCAGAAACAACAUUGGAUGGAGAAAAAGCUGCAAUGAAAGAUUGCCAUCUCUAGCAAAGGAGCAGAAAAGGGGCAGACUAUCAAGGCAGAAAACUUUCAGGCUGUAACUGCUCUACUCCAACCACAUCCAGAAAACAAAACUAAACAAACAAACAAAAAAAACUUGUGGCCUCAUUUUCACUCAUGCUAACAAAGCCCAAGUGGGGAGUCUAAACUGCCACCCUCACAAAGCUGUAAAUAGGUGCCCGCAAUACCCCUACAGGAGUGGUGUCAGAGGACAUGGAAAAGGGAGCCAAAACUUUCAUUUCUGUUAGCCAGUAACAAGAGUCUACUGCAGUGUAAAUGGAGACCAUAUGGGGAACUUGGACUUUCAUGCUACCUGGCAGUGACGAGGCAGCCCUUCUUUCCCUGAUGGAAUGGCAUCAGAGGAUCCCAGUGGGAAGUGAGGACAUUCACUACCACUAAUUAGUAACAAGGCCACCACCACUAUGGUGUCAAUAGAGAUCACAUGGAGAGGCAGCACAAAUAUCUAUGCCCAGUAGUUAUUAAGACCUGCUUCUCUCAGCAGAGUCAGGUGUCAGUGGAGGAGAAGUGAAGGAUCUGGAAGUGAAUUCUACCUUCCAGUAGAAAGCUGUGUUGAGCCACUUUUCCCCCUUUCAAAGCAGUGCCUAAAAAAGCAGCUGGAGGAUAAAGUUUGAAUAAGAUCCAAAGACUCUUAACGUAAUAUGAAUGUGACCAGGUUUCAAUCAAAAAUUGCUUGUCAUACAAAUAACAAGGAAAAUUUCAAAAAGGAUAAAAAGUAAAUUCAUUAUAUGCCAAUAGUGAGAAGGCAGAGCUAUUAAAAUAAUCUGACAGAGAUUGUAGAGCAACUGUGGUAAAAAUACUUCAACAAUCAAAACAUGCUUGAAACAAAUUUAAAAAACAGAGUUUCAGCACAGAUAUAUAAGACACAAAGAAGAACCACUGGACAUUUUAGAACAGAAAAAUGUAAUAACUUAAGUGAAAGCUUAAUGGAUGAUAUCAACAGCAGAAUAGAAGAGACAGAAGAAGAAAACAGGUAGCUUUAAGAUAGAAGAAGAAAAAUCACAUAAUCUAAACAACAGAGAGGAUAAAGGAAAAGAAAAUGAACAGAGCCUCCAAGAUCUGUGGACUAUAACAAAAUAUCUAGCAAAGACCUGGAAGAAGAGAAAUAGAGUGGGUCUAAAAAUGUGCUCCAAGUACACAUGGUCACAAAGAUGAGAACAAUAGACACUGAGGACUACUUGGAGGGGGAGACUGGGAGGAGAGUGAGGGUCAUAAAACUACCGAUUGGGUAUCUUGCUCACUGCCUGGAUGAUGGAAUCAUUUGUACACCAAACCCCAGUACUACACUGCCCAUGUAACAAACCUGCACAUAUACACCCUGAAUCUAAAAUAAAAGUUGAAUAAAUACAUAAAUAUAUAAAAAAUAAAAAUGUACACCAAAAAAUAGCAUCUAAAAUCUACCAAUUUCAUUAGAGACAUAAACCUACAGAAUAUGAAUAAAUAUGAAUGAACCCUAAACAGGGUAAUCACAAAGAUAUUCACACCAAGUUCCCUUGUAAUUAAACAUCUGAGAACUAGAAACAAAGAAAAAAUUUUGAAAGCAAUCAGAGAAAAGACACUUGACCAAUACGAGAAAAGCAAUUAAAAUGACAGAUUUCUCAUCAGAAACCACAGAGGAGAGAUGGAAGUGGCACGAUAUUUUUCAGGUGUCAAAAGAAAAGAGCUCUCAACCUAGGCUGACAAUCCUCUACCCAGGAUGAAAUCCUAGUUUCACAAUUGCAUUAGUCCAUUCUCACAUUGCUAUAAAGAACUACCUGAGACUGGGUAAUUUAUGAAGAAAAGAGCUUUAAUUGGCUCAUAGUUCUGCAGGCUGUACAGGAGGUGUGACUCAGGAGGCCUCAGUAAACUUAGGAUCAAAGCAGAAGGCGAAGGGGAAGCAGACACAUCUUCAUAUGGCAGAACAGGAGAGAAAAAGAGUGAAGGGGAACGUGCCACACACUUUUAAACAACCAGAUCUUGUUAGAACUCUAUCACAAGACAGCACUGGGGGAUGGUGCGAAACCAUUGGAAACCACCCCCAUGAUUCAAUCACCUCCCACCAGGGCCCUCCUCCAACACUGCGGAUUACAAUUCAACAUGAGAUUUGGGUGGGAGACAGAAACAAACCAUAUCAACAAUCCUAUACCCUGAAUAUUCAAUCCUAUAACCAAAGUGAAAGGGAAAUCAUAAUAUUCUUAAGCUGAAGAAAAAGUAAGAUAAUUUACUAUCCUAUCCAAAAAGUAUACCUAAAGAAAGUUCUCUAAACAGAAGGAAAACAAAAGAAAGACACCAGGAAAGGAAGAAAACAGAAAAAAAUAAGGUAAAUAAAAUGGGAUUUCCUUCUCCUUUGGGGUUUUCUAAAUUAUGUUUGAUCGUUAAGUCAAAAUUAUAACACUGAUUUUAUUCUAAAUUUAUGUAGAGAUAAUAUUUAGAACUAUUAUUAUAUAAACAUGGGACAGUAAAGGGGCAUAGAAAAGAGGUAAGGAUUAUAUAUUUCACUUCAACUGAAAAAAAAUGACAUCAGCACCUUGUAAUAAGUUUAUGUAUAGAAAAUUGUAUAUUCAGGCGUACCCAUUUUACCGCACUUCGCUUUAUGGUGCUUUGCAGAUAUGAUGUUUUUUACAAAUUGGAGGUUUGUGGCAACUCUGCAUUACGCACAUCUAUGGGUGCUGUUUUCUUAACAGCAUGUGCUCACUUAGUGUCUUUGUAUCAGCACUUUUUAGCAAUAAAGUGUUUUGUAACUGAGGUAUGUACAUGUUUUUAGAAAUAUGCUAUUGCACACUUCAUAGUAUGGUAUAAAUAUAACUUUUACAUGUGCUGGGAAAUCAGAAAUUUGUGUAACUCACUUUAUUGCCAUAUUUGCUUUAUUGUGGUGGUCUGGAACUCAACCUGCAAUAUCUCUGAGAUAUGUUUGUAUAAUGUAAUACCUAUAGUGAAACAAGUUAUAUGAAAGAUACAUUCAAAACACUAUAGGUAAAUCCAAAUGAAAUUAUAGUGACCAGCCUGGGCAGCAUGGUGAAACUCUGUCUCUACUAAAAAUAGAAAAAUUAGCUGAGCAUGGUGGCACAUGCCUGUAAUCCCAGCUACUCGGGAGACUGAGGCAUUAUUGCUUGAAUCCCUGAGGCAGAGGUUGCAAUGAGCCGAGAUCGCACCACUGCACUCUAACCUGGGUGACAGAGCAAGAUUGUAUCUCCAAAAAAAAAAAAAAAAAAAUUAUAAAAAAUGUUCAAUUAACCCACAGCAGGAUAGGAAAAAAGAAGAUAUUGAAAGGAAAAGUAGGGAGCAGAAAUAAAGCCUAAAAUAAAAUGCAGAUCUAAAUACUAGCACAUCGAUAACUAAUUAAAUGCAGAUGUUCUAAAAUCACUAAUUAAAAAAGAGUGGCAAAUGGAUUUUAAAAUCAUGACAAUUACAGAAUAUUAAAAACUCUUCAAAUAUAAUGAUACAGGCAGGCUGAAAUUAAAAGAGUAGUAGAAAAAUAUAAAAUUCAGUCAUGAAUCAGACAAAAAUAGAAAUGACUAAAUUAAUUCCAGUAAAGUAGAUUUUGUAGCAAAGAAAUUACCAGAGAGAGAGAGGAAUAGUGUAUAAUGACAAAAGUGUCAGUCCACCACAAAGACAUUGCAAUGGUAGAUGGAGCAUGCACCAAGUAAUGUAAUUGAAAACAUGUGAAGCAAAAACUGAAAUAAAGAAAAAGAGACACAGACAUAUCCACAAUGAUGGAUAAAGACUUCAUACUUCUCUCAACAAUCGAUAGAAAAACUAGACAUAAAAUCAACAUGGAGAUAAGAACCCAACAAUACCAUCAACCAACAGAAUCUAAAUAACAUUUAUAAAAAUUCCACUCAACAUCAGCAGAAUACACAUUAUUUUCAAAUGUCCAUGGAACAAGUACCAAAAUCAGCCAUAUUCUGGGCCAUAAGACAGACCUCAACAAAUAGAAAAGAUUUGAGAUCAUGCAGAGAAUGUCUUCCAAACAUAAUGGUAUCAAAUUAGAAAUCACUAAUAGAAAUAAAACCAAAAAUAUCUCUUCACACUUGGCAACAAGACAACCUAUUACUAAAUAAUCCAUGAGUCAAAAAGGAAUUAUCAAGAGAAAGAAAAAAAUACAUCAAAUUGAAUGAAAGUUAAAACAUGUCAAAAUGUGUAGAACACAGUGAAAGCCAUGCUGAGAGGAAAAAUUAUAGCACUAAGUGCAUACAUUAGAAAAGAGUUUGAAAAGGCUCAAAACAAUAAUGUGAGCUUUCACCUCAAAAACCUAGUAAGUGACUAAAAAAUAAACCCAAAACAUUAUAAGUCAUUAGAGAAUUGCAAAUUAAAACAACAAUGAAAUACCAUUAUGCAAGCAUUAGAAUGAAUAAAAAUCCAAAAACUGACAAUACUAAAUGCUGUUAAGGAUGUGGAACAAUAGGAACUCUCCUUCAUUGCUAGCAGUAAUGCAAAAUUGUACAGCUAAUUUAGGAGAUCAUUUGGUGGUUUCAUAUGAAACUAAACAUAGUCUUACCACACAACCCAGCAAUUGCCUACUUAGAUAAUUAUCCUGAUGAGUUGAAAACUUAUGUCCACAUAAAAACUUGCGUAUGAAUGUUUACAUCAGUUUUAUUCUUAAUCACCAGAAUCUGAAAGCUAACCAAAAUAUUUUUUAGUAGAUGAAUAAACUCUAGUACAUCCAUAAAAUUGAAUAUAAUUGUAGAUAAUAUUAAUGAACUAUAUAAUAAAAAUUAUAUAAUAAGUAAUGAAUUACAAAGCCAUGAAAAGACAUGAAGGAAUAUUAUGUACAUAUUGCCAAGUUUAAAAAGCCAAUGUGAAAUGAAAAGGCUACAUAUUAUAUAAUUCCAACUGCAUGACAAUCUUGAAAAAAGCAAAACUAUGGAGACCUUAAAAAGAUCUGUGGUUUCCAGAAGUUGAGGUGGGGUAUCAGGGAGGACAGGAGGGAUAAAUAGAUGGAACAUAUGAGAUUUUUAGGAUGAUGAAACUGUGCUGUGUGGUGGAUAUAAGGCAUGCAUUAGUCAAAACCUAUAGAAGAGUACCACACAAAAAAAGUAAACCUUAAUAUAAACUACCAACUUCACUUAAUAAUAAUGUAAUAGUAUUGGCUCAUUAAUUGUAACAAAUGCAUCAUUCUAUACUAUGCAAAAUGUUAAUAGAGGAAAUUAUAUGGGAGUGGGGGAGUAUUAUCUGCACAAUAUUUUUGCUCUAAAAUGUUGAGGUAGAUUUGUACCUGAUUUGUUGAGAGGUUUUAUCAUGAAGGGAUGUCAAAUUUUGUCAAAUCCUUCUUCUGGCUUAUUGAGAUGGUCAUAUGAUUUUUACUCUUUAUUCUAUUAAUACGUUACAUUUAUGAUUUGCAUACAUUAAACCAUUCUUGCAUCCUUGGGAUCGAUCUUACUUGUUCAUGGUGAAUAAUCUUUUUAAUGUGCUAUUGACUUUUGUUUGCUAGUGUUUUGUUGAGUAUUUUUGCAUCUAUGUUCAUUAGCAAUAUUAGCCUGUUUUUUUCUUUUUUAUUGAAAGCUUUCCCUCUAAGAUUUGGAAGAAGACAAGGAUGCCCAUUUUCACAACUCCUUGACAUAGUAGUGAAAGUCCUUUCUACAGCAAUUAGGCAAAAGAAAGAAAUAAAAUACAUCCAAAUAGGAAAGGAGGAGGAAGUCAAAUUGUCCCUAUUUGCAGAUGACAUAAUCUUACACAUAGAAUACUCUAAAGACUCCACCAAAAACCUGUUAGAACUAAUAAACAAAUACAGUAAAAAUGCAGGAUAUAAGAUUGAUAUAAAAAAUCAGUGGUGUUUUUAUACACCAAUGGUGAACUAUCUGAGAAAGAAAAGAAGAAAGUAAUUCCAUUUACAGUUGCUACAAAUAAAUAAAUACCUAUGAAUAAAUCUAACCAGGGAGGUAAAAUACCUCUACAAUGAAAACUGUAAAACUGAUUAAAUGAGUUAAAGGGGAUAAAAAUUAAUGGAAAGAUAUUUGAUGCUCAUGAAUUGGAAGGAUUAAUAUUAUUAAAUGUUCAUACUGCUUAAGACAAUCUACAGAUUCAAUACAGUCCUUAUCAAAAAUUCCAGUGUCAUUCUUCACAGAAAUAAAAAAGAACAAUCCUAAAAUUUGUAUGAAAUAAAAAAAGACCCCAAAUAGCCAAAACAAUCUUGAGCAAAAAGAACAAAGCUGUAGGCAUUACACUACCCAAUUUUAAAAUCAAAUCUAUAGUAACCAAAACAGCAUGAUAUUGGCAUAAAAAUACAUACACAGAUCAAUGGUACAAAAUAGAAAGCUCAGAAACAAAUCCAUGCAUUUACAACCAAUUGAUUUUCAAUAAAGUUGCCAAGAACACACAAUGGGAAAAUAAAUGGUGCUGGGAAAACUGGAUAUCCACAUGCAAAAGAAUGAAACUUGACCCUAUCUCUCAUGAUAUACAAAAAUCUACUCGAAAUAAUCUACUCUUAAAUAUAAGACUCAAACUAUAAAAUUAAUACAAAAAAGGGGGUGAACACUACAUGAUAUCAGUCUGGACAUGGAUUUUUUAGACAAGACCUCAAAAGAAAGAACAACAAAAACAAAAAUCAACAAAAACAAAAAUAAACAAAUAGGACAACAUCAAACUAAAAAAGUUCUGCACAGCAAAGGAAAAAAUCAACAGCAUGAAGAAGCAACCAUAGAAUGAGAGAAAACAUUUCCAUGUUAUAUACCUUACAAAGAGUUAAUACCCAGAAUUUAUAAGAACUCAACUCAAUGGCAAAAACAACUAAUUCAAUUUAAAAGUAGACAGAGCAAGACUCUGUCUCAAAAUAAAUAAAUAAAUAAAUAAAUAAAUAAAAGUAGACAAAAGACCUGUUUAGACAUAUCUUCAAAGAAGACAUACAAAUGGCCAACAAGUUUAUGAAAAAAUGCUCAACAUCAGCAACCAUCAGGAAAAUGCAAAUCAAAACCACAAUGUGAUAUCACCUCACCCCAGUUAAAAUAACUAUUACGAAAAAAAACAAAAAAUAACAAUGCUGUUGAGGAUAUGGAAAAAUGGGAACCCUUAUAGAUUGUUAGUGGGAAUGUAAAUUAAUACAGCCUUUAUGGAAAACAGUAGGACAUUCCUCAAAAAAUUAAAAUCAGAUCUACCGUAUCACCCAGCAGUCCCAUUACUGGGUAUAUAUCCAAAAGAAAUACAAUCAGUAUGUCAAAAAGAGAUCUCAUGUUUAUUGCAGGACUAUUCACAAUAUCCAAGAUGUGGAAUCAAAUUAAAGACCCACCAAUUAAUAAAUGGAUAAGGAAAAUGUGGUAUGUGUAUAUAUAUAUAUAUAUAUAUAUAUAUACACACACAAUGGAAUAUUAUUCAGCCACACAAAAUAAUAAAAUUGUGUCAUUGUGCAACAUGGAUAAGCCUGAAGGACAUUAUGUUAAGUAAAUUAAGCCAGGCACAGAAAGACAAAUGCCACAUGAUCCCAUUCAUAUGUAAUACCUAAAAAAAUUGAUCACAAAAAAGUUCAGAGUAGAAUAGUUGUUACCAGAGAGUUAGGAGAAUACAAGAAAAAGGGAGAUGGGGAGGGGCUGGUCAUUGGGUACAAUGUUACAGCUGGAUAAGAAUAAGAAGUUCCAUUACUUUAUAGCACAACAGGGUGACUGUAGCUAACAAUAAUGCAUUGUAUAUUUCAAAUAGCGAGGAAAGAGGUUUUUGAAUGUUCUUAUAACAAUGAAAUGGGCCAGGUGCAAUAUGAGAGGCUUGAGCGUUGCUUAAGGCAGAGUUCAAGAUCAGUCUGGGCAACAUAGCAAGCCCCCAUCUUAGGUUUGUUUGUAUGCACCUGUAGUCCCAGCCAUUCAGGAGGCUGAGGUGGGAGGAUCACUUGAGCCAGGAAGGUUGAGGCUACAAUGAGCUAUGAUCAUGCUGCCGCACCCCAGUCUGGGCAACAGAACUAGAUCCUAUCUCACAAACAAACAAACAAAGAUACAAUACAUGUUUAAAGUGAUGGAUAUGCUAAUUAUCACGAUUUUAUCAUUACACAACAUAUAUAUAUGGCAACAUUACGUUGUAAUACAUGUAAACAUGUGCAAUUAUUUUUUGUCAAAAAAGAAUAAAGAUGUGUUGUCAAAAACAUGUAAAAAUAAAUAAAAAUAUAAUCUACUAAGUAAAAAGACUUAAUUAAAAUUCAACAUACAUUCAUAAUUAAAAGCUCAAAUAAUGAAAUAGAGGAUAAUUUUCUCACCUUGAUACAAAGCAUCAGCUGAAAAGCUGCAACUAACAUUAUACUGACUGGGGAGAAUUGAUACUUUCUCCUCAAGAUCAGGUACAGAAACAGGAUGUUAAUUCUCACCACUUUUAGUCAACUUAGUGCUGGAAGUUCUGGUAAGUACAAUAGGGCAAGAUAAAGAAAGCUGAAAGACUACAGAUCAGGAUGUAAUAUAUAAAAUCAUCCCAUUUGCGGAAGGCACAAUUGUCUUCUACAUAGAAAAUUCCAAUGAAUCUACAAAAAUCUUGUACAAACUAACAACUAAUAACUAAUCAGCAAGGUCAUAGGACAAAAAAUAUGCAAAAAUUAAUUUUAAUUCUACAUAUUUGCAAUAAACACAUGAACCCCAACACUUAAAAUACAAUUAUAAUCCCUCAAAAAUAAAAAUGUAGGUAUAAAUCUAACAAAACAUUUACAGAAAUUAUAUAUUAAAAUUAUACAACACUAAUGUAUUAAUUUCCUUUUGCUGCUGUAACAAAUGACCACAAACAUAGUGGCUUAAACCAAUACAAGUUUAUCAGAACUCUAGAGAUCAUAUGUCUUAAAUACGUUUCAUGAGACCAAAAUCAAUGCAUUGGCAGGCAUGGAUUCCUUCUGGAAGCUCUUUGGGAGACUGCAUUUCUUCACCUUUUCCAGCUUCUAGGGGCUGCUUCCAUUCCUUGGCACGUGGCUCCAGCUAGCAGUUUCAUCACUCUGAUCUCUGCUUCCAUAGUCACAUCUACUUCUCUGUAUCCUCUGCCUCCCUUUUUCACUUAAAGAAACAUUACAAGUACAUUGGACCUACAAGAAUAAUACACGAUAAUCUCACUAUUUCUUUAUUUCUCUUCCUUCCUUCUUUCCUUCCUUCCUCUUUCUUUCUUUUUCUUUCUUUCUUUCUCUUUCUUUCUUUCUUUCUUUCUUUCUUUCUUUCUUUCUUUCUUUCUUCUUUCUCUCUCUCUCUUUCUUUCUUUCUUUUCUUUCUUUCUUUUCUCUCUUUCUUUCUCUUUCUCCCUUCUUUCUUUCCUUCCUUCCUUCCUUCCUUUCUUUCUUUUUUUCUUUUGACAGAGUCUUGCUCUUUUGCCCAGGUUGGAGUGCAGUGACAGGAUCUCGGCUCACUGCAAGCUCUGCCUCCCAGGGUUCACGCCAUUCUCCUGCCUCAGUCUCCUGAGUAGCUGGGACUAAAGGCGCCCACCACCACGCCUGGCUAAUUUUUUUGUAUUUUUAGUAGAGAUGGGGUUUCAUCGUGUUAGCCAGGAUGGUCUCGAUCUCCUGACUUCGUGAUCCACCUGCCUCAGCCUCCCAAAGUGCUGGGAUUACAGGUGCAAGCCAUAAUCUCACUAUUUCAACAUCCUGACUUAAUCAGAUCUGCAAAGUCCUUUUUGCAAUGUAGUUAAUUUUUAUUCACAGGUUUCAGGGAUCAGUUCAUGAACAUCUCAGAGUGGCCAUCAUUCUGUCUACUAGAGCUAAUGAAAAGUAAGAGCAGUUUUACAUAAAUGAAGAGCUAUACCAUGUUCAUGGUUCGACAGGCUCAGCAUGGUAAAAAUGUCAAUCUCCUCCAAAUUUGAUACACAGGUGUCACACAAUUUCAAUCAAAAUCCCAGGAAGAAUUUUUGCAGAUACAGAAAGAUUCUUCUAAAAUGUAUAUGGCAAGACAGAGAAACAAAUAUAGUUAAAACAAUUUUGGAAAAGAAGAAUUUAUCUACCUAAUUUCAAGGUUUAUUAUAUAACUACACUAAUCAAGACAAAAUGGUUUUGGAAGAAGAACACACACAUAGAUAAAUUUACCAGAAUAGAGAAACCAAAACUAAAUCCAUCCAAAUUUGCCCACCUGAUUUUUGACAAAGAUUCAAGAGCAAUUCAGUGGAGGACAGGUAGCCUUUUAAACAAAUACUGGAGCAAUUGAAGAUUCAUAAGCAAAACUACAGCUCACAUGUUACACAAAAAGCAACUCAAAAUUGAAUUACAAACUUAAAUGUAAAACAAACAAAAAAAAACUGUGAAACUUUCAGAAAGAAAGGAGAAAAUCUUUAGAACCAAGGGACAAAAAGAGUUCUUACACUGGCAUAAAAAUAUCAUCCAUAAAAAUUAAUAAAUUGGACCUCAAGAUGAUUAAAAACUUUUGCUCUGUGAAAAUGGCUAUGAGGUUAUGAGGGUAAAAAUAUAAGUACAGAUGGGGAGAAAAUAUUUGCAAACCACAAAGAGAGUAAGAUUUUGUUAUUUUAAGCCACUAAAUUUGUGGCAAUUUGUUAUGGCAGCAAUAAAAUACUGAUACAGUCUCUUUGAGAAAUAGUGCCAUAUCAGGGGCUUAAUUUUGUUCUCUCCUGACUCCUUGGACAUUCAGAGGCAGCAGUAGCCACUGGCCUUGGAGAAUGCUAGCUAGAGGGAAACUAGGGGCAUCCAUUCAGAUGCCCCUCUUAUAUUUUAGGAUUCCAGGUUUUUCCAUCGAUGAUCCUGAUGAUGGCAGAACAGACCUGCCUUGGCUGAGUAUUUUAAAAAAUCUCUCUGUGGAUUUAUGAAUCUAUCAGAUCUACAAUAUGGUGCUAUAAAUAAUGGUGUAUUUAUCAGCUACUAAAGAGGACCUGUGGCUCUCAAUACUCAGCUUUUAAUGAUUGUUAAAAUUUUCCAUAUCUGAGUAUUCCCCUGCAGAGCAUCAGCACAACUUAGCAAUAAUCGGUCAACUCUGCUGUGUUUGUAGUUGUCGCUCCCUCCUCCCUCUAUCUCUUUCAUAUUCCUGGUUCCUUACACCUGCCACAGUAUUCUCUUCCAUAGAGGCAUUUUUCCUGGUCACCAUUGGUGCAAUAUUUAGCACUUUGUGCCAGGCACUCUGUGCGCCACACCCACUACUUAGGGUGGUAUCUUUACCCAGCAGACUGUGAUGGGCCAGUCCCAAAUCCCCAUUUUACCACUUGUUUUCUCAGACCUCUCCUGGUACCACUUGUGCUACUCAAGAUCUGCUGAGAAGUGCAAGAUAUUUAUUAGGAGAGGGAGAAGGAGAAAGAAGGGUCUUCAGACCAUGAAGUAGAUCUGAUACCCGAGGAAGAAGAAAGGGAAAGAAAGAUUAAAGAAGAGGAGCUUGGACUGAAGCACCAAUCUAAGCAAGGGUUGGCCUGGCUAGUGAGGGAUCCUCAGACGAAUGCCUGCAGGAGUCCUCCAUCUCAUUGGAAUGAACCUGUCUUACCCAUCCCACCGUGUUCAGUCAUUAGCUGCUAGCAGGCCCCCGGGUGAAACAUAGCCUUGGUGCAAAUGCAGUGGUAGAUCCAGAGGGACUGCAGCUGGGGCAGUCAUUUAUGGUCCCAGCAGGAGAUGUGAGAGGUGCAUUUUCAUGGUCCCCAUAGGCAACUGUCCUGAGAAGUUUUUCUCCAAGCGGUGAUUCAGAGAUCCAGAUUCCUUCUACCAAAUCCCCACUACCUCUUCAGAGUCUCCCCUUCAGAGACAUGGCUAACUCAACUGAUCUAUCAGGUGUUCUGUGUUAGGCCACCAAAGAGCAAAGGGAAAAUUAGAUUUCAUGGGAGACUUUUUAGGGACCAAGACUGGAAGUGGUAAACGUAAAUUCUACACACAUUUUAUGGCCCAAACCUGCCAAAUAUCCCCUUCUAAGCACUUUUGGUGAAGACAUAAUGGUGUUUCUGCCACAUGGGAGAUCUUAAAUGUUACUGAGAUGUAUGAUAGCUCAGCUGUGUUGUUGCCAUUCCUGCUGUGUUGUCUAGCCUAUAUUUGUUCUUAUGCAUGGAACUGGUUGAAUCCUGUGUGUCUCUGAAGUUUUAAAACCAGUUUAAAUCUCAAGACUAGUAUUAUAGAACAGAGUAUUUUAGUUUUGUUUAUCUCAGUCCUAACCCAUCCUCUCUAUCUUUCAUGAGGGCCAUCCUCCAACAUUAAGAGCAUCCAUCCUCAUGUUUUACAAGGAAGUGUGUUCUUUCCCUAGGAGCAAUUCUAUUUCUAGUCAUUAAGCCAGCAUUUUUGCUUUCUCUCCAGUAUAUGUACAGAUUUUUAAUGGAAAUAUUCUGGAGCAGUAUGCCAAAAUAUGUUAACAUAAGACUUUU
rnacentral:lncRNA from 1 species